UGUUUAUUUAACUUUUUGGACAAGACAUUCUAGGACAUUCAGAGUUUAUGAGAAAAGAAUACAUAGGCCGAUGAUCUCGAGCCUACAAAAAGUGCACAGGUGUGAUGAGGUCAGAAUAUUCAAGGAGUGCACAUGCCUGUUGAAAAAGGCCAGCAACAUCCCCGAGUGUUCAGUAAUGAUCCUUCCGCAGGUUCACCUACGGAAA
rnacentral:misc_RNA from 1 species